rnacentral:misc_RNA from 1 species
AUUUAGUGGGAGUGCAGUCUGAAGUAUAAGGGAAGAUCAUAAAAAUAUAAAGUGAAUUCCGUGUAGCUAGAUCUUCAUUUCAUUUCAAAGAAAUCAGCUUUGUCUUAAAAAUCCCUUUCAUUUCCUCAGUGAAUUGAAAUGAUCAAAAGAUUGCUUGUCACAAGAUCAAUAUUAGAUCAAGGUAAGAUUGCAGGAAUAAUUCAG